rnacentral:tRNA from 1 species
AGUUUAAUAGUAUAAUAAAUACGUUGGGUUGCAAAUCUAGAAAUGUGGGUAUCACUUAAGCUU